GAUGAACGCUAGCUACAGGCUUAACACAUGCAAGUCGAGGGGCAGCGGGAUUGAAGCUUGCUUCAAUUGCCGGCGACCGGCGCACGGGUGAGUAACGCGUAUCCAACCUUCCGUACACUCAGGGAUAGCCUUUCGAAAGAAAGAUUAAUACCUGAUGGUAUGAUGAGAUUGCAUGAUAUCAUCAUUAAAGAUUUACCGGUGUACGAUGGGGAUGCGUUCCAUUAGGUAGUAGGCGGGGUAACGGCCCACCUAGCCAACGAUGGAUAGGGGUUCUGAGAGGAAGGUCCCCCACAUUGGAACUGAGACACGGUCCAAACGCCUACGGGAGGCAGCAGUGAGGAAUAUUGGUCAAUGGACGAGAGUCUGAACCAGCCAAGUAGCGUGAAGGAUGAAGGUCCUACGGAUUGUAAACUCCUUUUAUAAGGGAAUAAACCCUCCCACGUGUGGGAGCUUGUAUGUACCUUAUGAAUAAGCAUCGGCUAACUCCGUG
rnacentral:rRNA from 1 species